rnacentral:rRNA from 1 species
AUGUGACUGUGGAUCGAGCCCAUGUGAAGCCUCUUCGACGAGUCGAGUUGUUUGGGAAUGCAGCUCAAAAUGGGUGGUAAAUUUCAUCUAAAGCUAAAUACUGGCUGGAGACCGAUAGCGCACAAGUAGAGUGAUCGAAAGAUGAAAAGCACUUUGGAAAGAGAGUCAAACAGUACGUGAAAUUGUUGAAAGGGAAGCGCUUGCAACCAGACCUGUCCGUAGGUGAUCAGCCGCUGUUCUCAGUGGUGCACUCGCUCUGCGAUCAGGCCAGCAUCGGUUCGGGCGGUCGGAUAAAGGCCUUGGGAAUGUAGCUUCCUUCGGGGAGCCUUAUAGCCCUCGGUGCAAUGCGGCCAGCCGGGACCGAGGACCGCGCUUCGGCUAGGAUGCUGGCGUAAUGGUUGUAAGCGACCCGUCUUGAAACACGGACCAAGGAGUCUAACAUCUAUGCGAGUGUUUGGGUGUCAAACCCAUGCGCGGAAUGAAAGUGAACGGAGGUGAGAACCCUUAAGGGCGCAUCAUCGACCGAUCCAGAUGUCUUCGGAUGGAUUUGAGUAUGAGCAUAGCUGUUGGGACCCGAAAGAUGGUGAACUAUGCCUGAAUAGGGUGAAGCCAGAGGAAACUCUGGUGGAGGCUCGCAGCGGUUCUGACGUGCAAAUCGAUCGUCAAAUUUGGGUAUAGGGGCGAAAGACUAAUCGAACGAAAGAUUU